UUCGGAAUCACUGGGCUUAAAGGGCGCGUAGGCGGUCUGCCAUGUCCGGGGUGAAAGCCUCCAGCUUAACUGGAGAAGUGCCUUGGAUACUGGCGGACUCGAGCGAGGCAGGGGUCGUGGGAACUUCCGGUGGAGCGGUGAAAUGCGUUGAUAUCGGAAGGAACGCCGGUGGCGAAAGCGCACGACUGGUCCUCUUCUGACGCUGAGGCGCGAAAGCCAGGGGAGCAAACGGG
rnacentral:rRNA from 1 species